ACCUGGUUGAUCCUGCCAGUAGUCAUAUGCUUGUCUUAAAGAUUAAGCCAUGCAUGUCUAAGUAUAAGCUUUUAUUAUACGGCGAAACUGCGAAUGGCUCAUUAAAACAGUUAUAGUUUAUUUGAUAGUCGAUAUAAUACUACAUGGAUAACCGUGGUAAUUCUAUGGCUAAUACAUGCGCAAAUACUAUAUCACUCGGGGGUAUAGUAGUGUUUAUUAGAUACAGAACCAAUACACCUUUUUUAAAGGGUGUAGAAAAAGGUGAUUCAUGGUAACCGAACGGAUCACACUGUAAUCAUUUCGGUCACUGGCAAUGGAUCGUUAAAGUUUCUGACCUAUCAGUUUCGACGGUGGCGUAUUGGACUAUGGUGGCGGUGAAAGGUAACGGGAAAUUAGGGUUUGAUUCCGGAGAGGGAGCUUUAGAAACGGCUACCACAUCUAAGGGAGGCAGCAGGCGAGCAGAUUACCCAAUCCUGACUCAGGGAGCUAGUGAUAAGAAUUGACGACACUGGGUAUUCUAUUUCUAGUGAUUUGAAUGGUGGAAGUCCAAACCCCAUUCAGAAUUACGAUUGUAGGGCACGUCCACUGCCAGCAGCCGCGGUAAUUCCAGCCCCAACAGCGUACACUAAUGUUUUUGGAGUCGGAAAGCUCGUAGCUGGAUAUUUGCUGGAUGCAAUGAGUAAUCCCUUUACCGGGGGUGUGCACUCGGUGGUUUCUGGUAGGAUCUCCCCAACGACAACUACAUUAGGUUAUUUCCUAAUACAAAAAUUAUUGGGACGAGAGUUUUUUGGAGAAAAUUAGGGUGUUUGAAGCAGGCUUGUUGCCUUGAAUUCUGAAUCAUGGAAUAACAGGAGAGGAUUUGGGUUCCGCUUUGCUGGUUUCUAGGGAUGAAAUAAUGAUUAAUAGGGACAGUUGGGGGCGUUCGCAUUUAACUGUCAGAGGUGAAAUUUUUAGAUUUGUUAAAGACAAACUACUGCGAAAGCAUUUGCCAAAGAUGUUUUCAUUAAUCAAGAACGAAAGUUAGGGGCUCGAAGACGAUCAG
rnacentral:rRNA from 1 species